AUGGCCGAGCCUCCCGCCGCCGCCUGCCCCACCGAGCUGGAGCUCGCGCGGGCGCGGUGCCGCGCGCUGCACGAUCGCCUCGCCGCGUCGCCGUCCCUACCGCGCCACCCCGCUCUGCGCUCCCUCCUCCGCCUCGUCGCCGCCGAGCUGCGCUUCCUUGCCUCGAGUAACCACCCCGACCCCGCCAGGCCGCUCUCCUCCAACCUGCCCCACCUCGGGGCGCUCCACCUCCUCCUCACCCACCCCGCCGUGCGCUCGCCGUCCCGCCUCUCGCCCCUACCGGGCGUGGACUUCGCCUGCGCCUUCCGCUCCCGCCCCGCGUGGGUGCUCCUUUCCGCGCGCAACCCUUCAGGCUUCCAGUGGGUCCCGCGCAAGGGCAUCAGCUCCCGCGUCGCUGCCGUGCUGGAUGCCGCGCGCUCCGCUCCGCCGGCAACCCGCCCCGAGAAGCUGCUACUGGCCUUCGCCCGUGGCGUCGGCGCGGACAUCGUGUUGGGGCUCGCCGAGGAGUUCGGGGCCGUAGAUAUCGACUUGCUAGCGGAAUUCAUUGGCGAUUCCGAGGACGACAAGGAGGAGGACGGCUGGGUUACCGUCAGCUUCCACCCCAAUGAGGAGAUGAGGCGCUUUAGGGCGUUCGAGAUUGAAGUGGUGGAUGGUGAUGCUGAAGUGUUGUUACCGCCACCGCGCAGAGACGUAGAGGAGGUGGAGGAGGGCAGCGGUGACCAAUUGGAGGGUUGUUGGUUUGCUGACUUCAUGGGGAAGAUGAGGAUGAACUCCAUUGAGAUGGUGAAUCUAGACACAACGGCUCUUAUUGCGAUAGUAUCAGGUAUCAGCAAUGGCGGGGUGGGGAAGCUGAUGGGUGCGCCGGUGGCGGAGACCAGGGCCAGGUUCAAGUGCAACUACAAGUUCGUCAUGGAUCAGGCGCAAUCCGAGCUCCAGUCUCCAAUAUUUGUUGAGCUGGGGAAAGCAGUGGACGGAAAGAAAUGUAUCAUAUGUGAAGCGGUUAAGUCAGAGUUCAACGAAAUUGUUUCAAUGUGUGGUGGGCCAGAGGAGAAAACAAGAGCAAGUCAAUUACUGAAACAACUUAUAAUUGUGCCAGACAGUCCUUCAGUACGUAUGAUGGAUCUUCCAACAACAAGGAAGCUUGCCAUGAAGAACAAGGUUGUUUUUGGUACAGGUGACCACUGGCGUGCUCCCACUUUGACUGCUAACAUGGGGUUCGUAAGAGCUGUUUCAGUCUGGUAUGCCUUUGUUGACCAUCGAGCACAGACCUCGUGCCCUGAUCGGCUUGUGAAGGCAGAUAACCCCAUAGUUUAA
rnacentral:rRNA from 1 species